AACGAACGCUGGCGGCAUGCCUAACACAUGCAAGUCGAACGAGACCUUCGGGUCUAGUGGCGCACGGGUGCGUAACGCGUGGGAACCUGCCCUUAGGUUCGGAAUAACUCCCCGAAAGGGGUGCUAAUACCGGAUAAUGUCUUCGGACCAAAGAUUUAUCGCCUUUGGGUGGGCCCGCGUUGGAUUAGCUAGUUGGUAGGGUAAAAGCCUACCAAGGCGACGAUCCAUAGCUGGUCUGAGAGGAUGAUCAGCCACACUGGGACUGAGACACGGCCCAGACUCCUACGGGAGGCAGCAGUGGGGAAUAUUGGACAAUGGGCGAAAGCCUGAUCCAGCAAUGCCGCGUGAGUGAUGAAGGCCUUAGGGUUGUAAAGCUCUUUUACCCGGGAUGAUGAUGACAGUACCGGGAGAAUAAGCGCCGGCUAACUCCGUG
rnacentral:rRNA from 1 species